rnacentral:rRNA from 1 species
UACAGAGGAGCCAAGCGUUGUCCGGAUUGACUGGGCGUAAAGCGCACGUAGGCGGAUUGUUAAGUCAGGGGUGAAAUCCUGGAGCUCAACUCCAGAACUGCCUUUGAUACUGGCAAUCUCGAGUCCGGGAGAGGUGAGUGGAACUGCGAGUGUAGAGGUGAAAUUCGUAGAUAUUCGCAAGAACACCAGUGGCGAAGGCGGCUCACCUGGCCCGGUACUGUGACGCUGAGGUGCGAAAGCGGUGGGAGCAAACGGG